CCGCCAUUUUCCUCACCGGGGGCGGUUGCCGGCGUCAAGAGGUCUUCACGUAGAGGGCUGUGAAGACGUCUGUAUGAAAAGAUCUUCAUGUCUAUUCCCUGGAUAUCUUUAAACGUCCGCACGGUGAUUUUUAUCAGUCCUGUGACAUUUAGACCCUCUAGGGUCACUGGCUUCAGCUCCAUCCUGGCAUCCUAACAUAAACCAUGUUGGUGAUGAUAUAUUGACCAUCAAACCACACUGAAGCAUGGAGCUGGUGUACACUAAAUGUAGGGUCAGGGCAGAGUUGAAGGAGUGUAUGGAAAAUGACAAAACUACUACAGCCCCUCUGUCUCCAUCUUGGGAUGAAGUACCCGUUUUUGAACCAGACAUCAGAUGAAUGGACAUCACAAACAAAUCCAUCAAAAAACCCCAAACAAACAAAUGAUUGAGAAGAAAGAAGGCUGACGAUAAUUUAGUGUGCUCCAACACAAAAGCAGUGAGAAAGAAGGACUCAAGUUAAUAUGCAUGUAGUACCUCCGCAUUCAGAAGAAGAGUUUGGACUGUCACAUACGCUGACAUCAUUCUCGUGAGGCAUUUGGCUGUAGUUUUUGCUGCAAUUCUUCUCCUGAUAAAGCAACUUCUCUGAAAACACAUGAAGAAAUAUCACCUGGGUUCAAGAACCUCAUUAACCAGUUCCCAGCCCGUUUUUAACCUCAAAUCACUUUCUGUGGAAGGUUCUUCAUGCUUAAACUUCCACCCGAGCAUCCCAGCAAAUAAAGAAGCUGUUGGCAUUGUCAGACUUUUGUGCUGAAAGCCAAGGGUUAUCUGGAAGAAGAGAAGAAACGGUCCUUAUGUGGCAAUUAAAAGCACUUUGAAUGAACUUACCAAAAAGCUUUGUGUGUGUUAUGCUCCAGUUGGUAACUCCAAUGUCCUGAGAGGAACAUGAAGAUUUGUGUUGCAUGAAGGGUGGACAUGUUGAUUUUUGUUCUGGUUACCUCUUGCUGACAUAUUCUGCUUACUUACAAAUGAAGAGUUUGACAUUUCAGGGCAGAAUCUGUUGAAAUGUACCAAAGCUGACAGUGAACCCUACAGGUUGUUUCUGUACUAUACCUCUCAUUUUUAAUAUGGGUCUCUAUAUAAAUCAGGAAGCCAUUCAAGAAAAUCUACUGAUGCUGUACCACUCAUAAUGUGUCUAUUAUCAUAAGCUAAUCCAAUGUUGAAGUACAAAUAUAAACUAUUGAAUUAUGAUAUCAAAUAAACUUGACUUAAAAUUCAGUGA